rnacentral:rRNA from 1 species
GACCCGUCUUGAAACACGGACCAAGGAGUCUAACAUGUGCGCGAGUCAAUGGGUCUCCCGAAACCCAAUGGCGCAAUGAAACGUGAAGGCCCCUAGUGGGCUGCGUUGCGAUCCCGGACCGYACAGGGGUCCGAUAAAGGGCGCAGCAACGGCCCGUCCCAGGCGCUCACACGUCGCCGGGGCGGAGCGAGAGCGCACACGUUGGCACCCGAAAGAUGGUGAACUAUGCCCGGGCAGGACGAGGCCAGAGGAAACUCUGGUGGAGGUCCGAAGCGAUUCUGACGUGCAAAUCGAUCGUCCGAUCCGGGUAUAGGGGCGAAAGACCAAUCGAACCAUCUAGUAGCUGGUUCCUUCCGA